GGGACAGAUUCUGCUCACAGGGCAGUGUCUUUGGAGCCACCUUGCACUAACAGCAGUGUAAUUGGCAGCUUGUUUUGGUUCUUUGUAGCAGGUGUCCUCAGGGCUGCCCACUGCCACUGAGACAGGUCGGAAGGACUUUGCACUUACAGCUCUGCCUGGCCUGGUAUUUCCCACUGCUCCAGUGCUGGACACUUAUGGCUGCACAGGACCAGAGACACAACAGGCACAUCCAUGGUUGCCUUCUCAAUUUUCUUGCUCUGGAAGCAGAAACAGAAGAGGAGCUCCAGCCUGCAGCCUUGCAUGUGGGCAUCCUACGCAGCCUGACGGGUGGAAAAUGCUGCCGGAUUCCAAAACAACACAGUGCUGUUACAUCAUUUCUCUGGUGCUGGAAUAACAACAGAGGCUGCC